rnacentral:rRNA from 1 species
UACGUAGGUGGCAAGCGUUGUCCGGAUUUACUGGGCGUAAAGAGCGCGCAGGCGGUCGUUCAAGUCGCGUGUGAAAGCCCCCGGCUCAACUGGGGAGGGUCACGCGAUACUGAUCGACUGGAAGGCAGGAGAGGGUAGUGGAAUUCCCGGUGUAGUGGUGAAAUGCGUAGAUAUCGGGAGGAACACCAGUGGCGAAGGCGGCUUCCUGGCUCAGUACUGACGCUCAUGUUCGAAAGCGUGGGGAGCGAACAGG